rnacentral:rRNA from 6 species
GAGCGGCGAACGGGUGAGUAACACGUGAGCAACCUGCCCUAGGCUUUGGGAUAACCCUCGGAAACGGGGGCUAAUACCGAAUAGGACCUCCUGUCGCAUGGUGGGGGGUGGAAAGUUUUUCGGCCUGGGAUGGGCUCGCGGCCUAUCAGCUUGUUGGUGGGGUGAUGGCCUACCAAGGCGACGACGGGUAGCCGGCCUGAGAGGGCGACCGGCCACACUGGGACUGAGACACGGCCCAGACUCCUACGGGAGGCAGCAGUGGGGAAUAUUGCACAAUGGGCGGAAGCCUGAUGCAGCGACGCCGCGUGAGGGAUGACGGCCUUCGGGUUGUAAACCUCUUUCAGCAGGGACGAAGCGCAAGUGACGGUACCUGCAGAAGAAGCGCCGGCCAACUACGUGCCAGCAGCCGCGGUAAGACGUAGGGCGCGAGCGUUGUCCGGAUUUAUUGGGCGUAAAGAGCUCGUAGGCGGCUUGUCGCGUCGACUGUGAAAACCCGCAGCUCAACUGCGGGCCUGCAGUCGAUACGGGCAGGCUAGAGUUCGGUAGGGGAGACUGGAAUUCCU